AUGCCACUGAGACUCCUUUCCCUCCCUCUGCCCCAAACAAAGAACAAACCCCAGAGAAUGUCAUCACAAAACAGGUGGAAGAGCUCAGGCAGGUCCCAGAACACGAGAAAGGGCCAGACAUGGGCCAGGAGCCUGCUUAGUACCAGGCCAUUUUCCUGCCAAAAAGAGGUAGGGAAGGAAGGUGGGAGAUGGGAAUUGAGGGAGGACAGAAAUAUAUACGGAGGUAAAGAGAGAAGAGACAGAGGAAAUAUACAGAGAGAAAAUGUUGUACAGUAAUGGACAGACCAAUAUACAGCAGGGCGGGGAGAAACAGCGCCCAGGUAAAGUAGGGUGACACCGCCUGAGGAGACCCGGAGCCGCAGGAGGGGCGGAGGGGCGGAGGCGCGGGUACGGGGCGGGG
rnacentral:lncRNA from 1 species